rnacentral:rRNA from 1 species
GUAAGGAAUAUUGGACAAUGGACGGAAGUCUGAUCCAGCCAUGCCGCGUGAAGGAAGAAGGCGCUCAGCGUUGUAAACUUCUUUUGGACGGGAACAAAAUGCGCCACUUGUGGUGUACUGAGGGUACCGUCAGAAUAAGCACCGGCUAACUCCGUGCCAGCAGCCGCGGUAAUACGGAGGGUGCGAGCGUUAUCCGGAAUCACUGGGUUUAAAGGGUGCGUAGGCGGUCAGAUAAGUCAGUCGUGAAAUCGUUGGGCUUAACCUAUACAAUUGCGAUUGAUACUGUUUGACUUGAAUCAGGUUGAGGUGGGCGGAAUGUGGCAUGUAGCGGUGAAAUGCAUAGAUAUGCCAUAGAACACCGAUUGCGAAGGCAGCUUGCUGGACCUGAAUUGACGCUGAGGCACGAAAGCGUGGGGAGCAAACAGGAUUAGAAACCCCGGUAGUCC